GUAGUCCAUGCCGUAAACGUUGGGCACUAGGUGUGGGGGACAUUCCACGUUUUCCGCGCCGUAGCUAACGCAUUAAGUGCCCCGCCUGGGGAGUACGGCCGCAAGGCUAAAACUCAAAGGAAUUGACGGGGGCCCGCACAAGCGGCGGAGCAUGCGGAUUAAUUCGAUGCAACGCGAAGAACCUUACCAAGGCUUGACAUGAACCGGUAAUACCUGGAAACAGGUGCCCCGCCUGCGGUCGGUUUACAGGUGGUGCAUGGUUGUCGUCAGCUCGUGUCGUGAGAUGUUGGGUUAAGUCCCGCAACGAGCGCAACCCUCGUUCUAUGUUGCCAGCGGUUCGGCCGGGGACUCAUAGGAGACUGCCGGGGUCAACUCGGAGGAAGGUGGGGACGACGUCAAAUCAUCAUGCCCCUUAUGUCUUGGGCUUCACGCAUGCUACAAUGGCCGGUACAAAGGGUUGCGAUACUGUGAGGUGGAGCUAAUCCCAAAAAGCCGGUCUCAGUUCGGAUUGGGGUCUGCAACUCGACCCCAUGAAGUCGGAGUCGCUAGUAAUCGCAGAUCAGCAACGCUGCGGUGAAUACGUUCCCGGGCCUUGUACACACCGCCCGUCAAGUCACGAAAGUUGGUAACACCCGAAGCCGGUGGCCUAACCCUUGUGGGGGGAGCCGUCGAAGGUGGGACCGGCGAUUGGGACU
rnacentral:rRNA from 1 species